UCCGUAGGCGGUGUGGCAAGUCGGUAGUGAAAUCUCUCGGCUUAACUGAGAGGCUGCUGCCGAAACUGCCAUGCUCGAGUGCGAGAGAGGCGAGUGGAAUUGCGGGUGUAGCGGUGAAAUGCGUAGAUAUCUGCAGGAACAUCCGAGGCGAAAGCGGCUCGCUGGAUCGCAACUGACGCUGAGGGACGAAAGCUAGGGGAGCAAACAGGAUUAGAUACCCUGGUAGUCCUAGCCCUAAACCAUCAGGACUUGGGGUUUGCCCUGUACGGGGCAAGUCCCGGAGCUAACGCGUUAAGUCCUGCGCCUGGGGAGUACGGUCGCAAGGCUGAA
rnacentral:rRNA from 1 species